rnacentral:snoRNA from 1 species
UGUGGUGUGCUUUUGUUCAGCUGAUGGAAAAAGGCACGGAAGACAGGUUAAAAAACAAAAAAACAACACUCUUUUGUAACUCAGAACUCGUUGUUCAGUUUGAGUUCUGACAGAUGCAGGAAUGAGAUGU